GAUGAACGCUGGCGGCGUGCUUAACACAUGCAAGUCGAACGGAAAGGCUCCUGCUUGCAUGGUUACUCGAGUGGCGAACGGGUGAGUAACACGUGGGUGAUCUGCCCUGCACUUCGGGAUAAGCCUGGGAAACUGGGUCUCAUACCGGAUAUGACGUUGUUUUCCAUGCCAUUGUGGAAAGUUGUUCGGUUUGGGUUUGGCUCGCGGCCUAUCCGCUUGUUGGUUGGGUAAUGGCCUACCAAGGCGUCGACGGGUAGCCGGCCUGAGAGGGUGUACGGCGACAAUGGGACUGAGAGACGGACCAGAAGCCUACGGGAGGCAGUAGUGGGGAAUAUGGCACAAUGGGGGCAAGCGUGAGGCAGAGACGCCGCGUGGGGGAUGACGGCCUUCGGGUUGUAAACACCUGUCGCUAGGGACGAAGCGCAAGUGACGGUACCUGGAGAAGAAGCACCGGCUAACUACGUG
rnacentral:rRNA from 1 species